GUCCGGAUUGCCAAGUCUGGUCAAAGGCGCAGGACUUAAGAUCCUGUCAUUCGUGUUCGAGGGUUCGAAUCCCUUUCCGGACA
rnacentral:tRNA from 1 species